GUACUACUCCCUCCGUUCGGAAUUACUUGUCCUAGAAAUGGAUGUAUCUAGAUGUAUUUUAGUUUUAGAUACAUCCAUUUCCGAGACAAGUAAUUCCGAACGGAGGGAGUACUUA
rnacentral:pre_miRNA from 1 species